AGUGAACGCUGGCGGUAGGCCUAACACAUGCAAGUCGAACGGCAGCACAGUAAGAGCUUGCUCUUACGGGUGGCGAGUGGCGGACGGGUGAGGAAUACAUCGGAAUCUACUUUUUCGUGGGGGAUAACGUAGGGAAACUUACGCUAAUACCGCAUACGGCCUACGGGUGAAAGCAGGGGAUCUUCGGACCUUGCGCGAUUGAAUGAGCCGAUGUCGGAUUAGCUAGUUGGCGGGGUAAAGGCCCACCAAGGCGACGAUCCGUAGCUGGUCUGAGAGGAUGAUCAGCCACACUGGGACUGAGACACGGUCCAGACUCCUACGGGAGGCAGCAGUGGGGAAUAUUGGACAAUGGGCGCAAGCCUGAUCCAGCCAUACCGCGUGGGUGAAGAAGGCCUUCGGGUUGUAAAGCCCUUUUGUUGGGAAAGAAAAGCAGCAGGUUAAUACCCCGCUGUUCUGACGGUACCCAAAGAAUAAGCACCGGCUAACUUCGUG
rnacentral:rRNA from 1 species